rnacentral:rRNA from 1 species
GACGUAGGGAGCAAGCGUUGUCCGGAAUUACUGGGCGUAAAGAGCUCGUAGGCGGGAGCGUGCGUCUGAAAGGAAAUCUCAGGGCUCAACUCUGGGGCUUUUUCAGAUACGGCGCUUCUUGAGUGUAACAGAGGAAAGCAGAAUUCCCGGUGUAGCGGUGAAAUGCGUAGAUAUCGGAAGGAACAUCAGUGGCGAAGGCGACCGCCUGGCCUAAGACUGACACUGAGGCACGAAAGCGUGGGGAGCAAACAGGAUUAGAAACCCGAGUAGU